AUUUAUCAAAAGACAAAACAAUAAGAAUUUUGUACUUUCAUCAUUAUUCACUUUGCCGUUCACAAAAUAAAAGAAGCACAAGAACUGAAACGGUGAGCCUGGUUCUAAAACUUUUGUUGGUGGGUUUCGUUAAGUACUUUGGACUCAUCAAAUCCAGGAUCAUAUAAGACACAUCCAAAUUCAUGGGGUACAUCACCACUAUCUUGAUCAUAACAUUCAAAACGAGCUAAUUUCUCUUCUCGCAUACAAGGUCAGAUUUUCUAUCACAAGUAUUAUUAAGGAAGCAGAAUAUUUUCUGUUAUCCUUGAUUGUACACCAGACGUGAGUCAUCAAGAGCAAAUGAGUAUAAUUGUACGAUGUGUGAAUAUGUCAUGUCAGAUAAAAAUAUUAGAAUUGAGGAGUAUUUCUUAGAGUUUUUUUAAAGUAGAUGAUACAUCGGGACUAGGCUUGUUUAAUGAAUUACAAACUGCUCUUAAGUCUCUUGAUCUUGAUAUUAAAUGUGAGGGGACAAGGUUAUGAUAAUAGUUCUAAUAUGAAAGGAAAACACCAAGGAGUUCAAAAACGAUUGCUUGAAAUUAAUUCAAAAGCAUUGUUUAUGUCAUGUGUUUGUCAUAGCUUGAAUCUUGUUGUUAGUGAUAUGGCACAUUCUUGUAUGAAAGCUGCUUUUUCUUUUGGGAUUGUGCGACUCAUUUACACUUUAUUUUCGAGCUCUACAAAAAGAUGGGAUAUUUUACUUAAGCAUAUUUCAUGUUUUACAGUAAAAAGUUUGUCUAAUACUAGAUGGAAGAGUCGAAUAAAAAGUGUAAUAUGGUAAGUAAGAAAUUUUUGAUUUUUUGUGAUGAUGCUAUUUCAAAAAGUGAAACCAAAAUCGUGAUUGAUGCACUUGAAAUUUUUGAUUUUUUGCUUGGUAUUGUUAUUUGGUACGACAAUUAAUUUGCUAUUAAUAUGAUAAGUAAGAAAUUACAAGAUAAAACCAUAUGUAUUGAUAAUGCCAUGAAACAAGUAAAAGGUGUGAUGUCUUUUUUGAGAAAUAUAGAAAUUAUGGAUUUAGGUCUAGUAUGAACAUGGCUAAAAAUCUUGCUCAUGAGAUGGAUAUUGAUGCUAUAUUUUCCAAAAAGCGUCCAUGUUUUAGAAAAAAACAGUUUGAUGAAACUUAUCAUAAUGAAGUAAUUCAAACAUCUGAAGAUGAUUUUUAAAAUCAAUUAUUUUCUUGUUGUUGUGGAUAUGGCAGUCACUUCAUUGAAUGAUAGAUUUGAAGAAAUGGGAACAUUUGGAAAUGUUUUUGGUUUUUUAUAUAAUUCAGUGAAGAUAAAAUCACUUGAUGUUGUUAAAUUAAGAAAAAGUUGCACUAAUUUUUUAUAAAACAUUUUCUGAUGACGAUUCGUCAGAUGUUGAUUUAGAUGAUCUUUUCUGAGUUAAGAAUGUUGCAGGGGAGUUUGUCCGAUGAAGCAAUAAUACCGAUUCAGGUUCUUGAGUUGGUAAAAGCUAUGGGUUGUUAUCCAAAUGUUGAUAUUGCUUACCGAAUUUUACUAACCACACAUUUGACAGUUGCAUCAGCUGAAAGAUGUUAUUCUAAACUAAAAUUGUUGAAAACUUAUUUGAGAUCAUCAAUGUCACAAGAAAGAUUGAACGGUUUAGCAAUUUUAUGCAUUGAAAAAGAAGUCUUGGAGAACAUGAAUUUUGAAUUAGUUAUUAAUGAUUUCCAUCAACUAAAGUUAGAAAAAAAUGUUUUAUGUGAUUGUCUUUUCGUUUUUAAAGAAUUGAUACUUCUUUUUCUAAUUGUUUCAGGUCAUGAAAAAAGAGUGUACGCAAUACUCGUUGAAGAAUUAAUUACGGUCAAAGCAAUAGAAUGAAGAAAAGUUGAAGAAAUGUUUGUAAAAGGGUCAUA